CCUACGGGCGGCAGCAGUGAGGAAUAUUGGUCAAUGGGCGAGAGCCUGAACCAGCCAAGUCGCGUGAAGGAUGAAGGAUCUAUGGUUUGUAAACUUCUUUUAUAUGGGAAUAAAGUGAGGAACGUGUUCCUUUUUGUAUGUACCAUAUGAAUAAGCAUCGGCUAACUCCGUGCCAGCAGCCGCGGUAAUACGGAGGAUGCGAGCGUUAUCCGGAUUUAUUGGGUUUAAAGGGUGCGUAGGUGGUUAAUUAAGUCAGCGGUGAAAGUUUGUGGCUCAACCAUAAAAUUGCCGUUGAAACUGAUGUUCUUGAGUGGGCGAGAAGUAUGCGGAAUGCGUGGUGUAGCGGUGAAAUGCAUAGAUAUCACGCAGAACUCCGAUUGCGAAGGCAGCAUACCGGCGCCCAACUGACGCUGAAGCACGAAAGCGUGGGUAUCGAACAGGAUUAGAUACCCCAGUAGUC
rnacentral:rRNA from 1 species